GGGGACACGUGGUAUCCUGUCUGAAUAUGGGGGGACCAUCCUCCAAGGCUAAAUACUCCUGACUGACCGAUAGUGAACCAGUACCGUGAGGGAAAGGCGAAAAGAACCCCGGCGAGGGGAGUGAAAAAGAACCUGAAACCGUGUACGUACAAGCAGUGGGAGCACAGGUUUACCUGUGUGACUGCGUACCUUUUGUAUAAUGGGUCAGCGACUUAUAUUCUGUAGCAAGGUUAACCGUAUAGGGGAGCCGSAGGGAAACCGAGUCUUAAYYGGGCGUUAAGUUGCAGGGUAUAGACCCGAAACCCGGUGAUCUAGCCAUGGGCAGGUUGAAGGUUGGGUAACACUAACUGGAGGACCGAACCGACUAAUGUUGAAAAAUUAGCGGAUGACCUGUGGCUGGGGGUGAAAGGCCAAUCAAACCGGGAGAUAGCUGGUUCUCCCCGAAAGCUAUUUAGGUAGCGCCUCGUGAAYUCAUCUCCGGGGGUAGAGCACUGUUUCGGCUAGGGGGCCAUCCCGGCU
rnacentral:rRNA from 1 species